rnacentral:rRNA from 1 species
UACGUAGGGUGCGAGCGUUGUCCGGAAUUACUGGGCGUAAAGAGCUCGUAGGCGGUCUGUCGCGUCGAUCGUGAAAACUUGGGGCUUAACCCUGAGCUUGCGGUCGAUACGGGCAUGACUGGAGUUCGGCAGGGGAGACUGGAAUUCCUGGUGUAGCGGUGAAAUGCGCAGAUAUCAGGAGGAACACCGGUGGCGAAGGCGGGUCUCUGGGCCGAUACUGACGCUGAGGAGCGAAAGCGUGGGGAGCGAACAGG